rnacentral:tRNA from 1 species
GUCCCUUUAGCGCAAUGGUAGCGCGUUGGAUUUCUAAUCCAAAGGUCGUGGGUUUGAAUCCCACCUAGAAUCA